rnacentral:rRNA from 1 species
AGCAUUAUACCGUGAAACUGCGAAUGGCUCAUUAAAUCAGUUAUCGUUUAUUUGAUAGUACCUUACUACUUGGAUACCUGUGGUAAUUCUAGAGCUAAUACAUGCUAAAAACCCCGACUUCGGAAGGGGUGUAUUUAUUAGAUAAAAAACCAAUGCCCUUCGGGGCUCCUUGGUGAUUCAUAAUAACUUCUCAGAUCGCAUGGCCUUGCGCCGGCGACGGUUCAUUCAAAUUUCUGCCCUAUCAACUUUCGAUGGUAAGGUAUUGGCUUACCAUGGUUUCUACGGGUAACGGGGAAUUAGGGUUCGAUUCCGGAGAGUUAGCCUGAGAAACGGCUAACACAUCCAAGGAAGGCAGCAGGCGCGCAAAUUACCCAAUCCUGAUACAGGGAGGUAGUGACAAUAAAUACUGAUACAGGGCUCUUUUGGGUCUUGUAAUUGGAAUGAGUACAAUUUAAACCUCUUAACGAGGAACAAUUGGAGGGCAAGUCUGGUGCCAGCAGCCGCGGUAAUUCCAGCUCCAAUAGCGUAUAUUAAAGUUGUUGCAGUUAAAAAGCUCGUAGUUGAACCUUUGACCUGGCUGGCAGGUCCGCCUCACCGCGUGCACUUGACCGGCCGGGCCUUUUCUUCUGGAAAACCGCAUGCCCUUCACUGGGUGUGUUGGGGUCCAGGACUUUUACUUUGAAAAAAUUAGAGUGUUCAAAGCAGGCCUUUGCUCGAAUAUUACAGCAUGGAAUAAUAAAAUAGGACGUGCGGUUCUAUUUUGUUGGUUUCUAGGACCGCCGUAAUGAUUAAUAGGGACAGUCGGGGGCAUCAGUAUUCAAUUGUCAGAGGUGAAAUUCUUGGAUUUAUUGAAGACUAACUACUGCGAAAGCAUUUGCCAAGGAUGUUUUCAUUAAUCAGUGAACGAAAGUUAGGGGAUCGAAGACGAUCAGAUACCGUCGUAGUCUUAACCAUAAACUAUGCCGACUAGGGAUCGGGCGGUGUUAUUAUUUUGACUCGCUCGGCACCUUACGAGAAAUCAAAG